rnacentral:tRNA from 1 species
UGACUCUAUCGUCAAGUGGCUAAGACGCUGCCGUUUUAUGGUAGAAACAGAGGUUCGAAUCCUCUUAGAGUAA